rnacentral:rRNA from 1 species
GUCUAUAUGAAGGUGUAUAUAGUUUGGCCUGCUCACUGAUUAUAUUAAAGAGCCGCAGUAUUUUGACUGUGCGAAGGUAGCAUAAUAAAUUGUCUUUUAAAUGGAGGCUUGAAUGAAAGGUUGGACAAAGUAUCAUCUGUUUCUUAAAUAUUUAUUGAAUUUGACUUUCAAGUGAAAAGGCUUGAAUAAAUUAAAAAGACGAUAAGACCCUAUAAAUCUUUACAAUAAACACAUUUUAUAUUUUUAUUUAUUAAGUGAAUGAGAUAUUAAAUUUGUAGUUGUUUCGCUGGGGCGGCGUAGAUAUAUAAAUGAACUGUCUAUAAUUUUAAAUACAAUAAUUAUUGAUUAAUGAAAUUGAUCCUUAAAUAGAUUAAAAGAUUAAGAUACUUUAGGGAUAACAGCGUUAUUUUUUCUGAGAGUUCUUAUCGAAGAAAAAGUUUGCGACCUCGAUGUUGAAUUAAAGUAUCUUUAUGGUGCAGUCGCUAUAAGAGAGAGUCUGUUCGACUUUUAAUACUUUACAUGAUUUGAGUUCAGACCGGCGUGAG